AGUGAACGCUGGCGGCGUGCCUAAUACAUGCAAGUCGAACGGAAUUUAAAAGAGCUUGCUCUUUUAAAUUUAGUGGCGCACGGGUGAGUAAUAUAUAGCUAAUCUGCCCCUUGCUGGAGGACAACAGUUAGAAAUGACUGCUAAUACUCCAUACUCCUUUUUACCAUAAGAUAAAUCGGGAAAGAAUUUCGGCAAGGGAUGAGACUAUAUCGUAUCAGCUAGUCGGUGGGGUAACGGCCUACCGAGGCUAUGACGCGUAACUGGUCUGAGAGGAUGAUCAGUCACAUUGGAACUGAGACACGGUCCAAACUCCUACGGGAGGCAGCAGUAGGGAAUAUUGCGCAAUGGGGGAAACCCUGACGCAGCAACGCCGCGUGGAGGAUGACACUUUUCGGAGCGUAAACUCCUUUUGUUAGGGAAGAAUAA
rnacentral:rRNA from 1 species